GACGAACGCUGGCGGCGUGCUUAACACAUGCAAGUCGAACGAUGAACCUUCCAUGAUCUAUUCGUAGAGAUUGGAAGCGGAUUAGUGGCGAACGGGUGAGUAACGCGUGAGCAACCUGCCUUAAACAACGGGAUAGCCUCGGGAAACCGGGAUUAAUACCGUAUGAGACCCCGCCUUCCCAUGAAGAAGAGGUUAAAGAUUUAUCGGUUUAAGAUGGGCUCGCGUCUGAUUAGCUAGUUGGUGAGAUAAAAGCCCACCAAGGCAACGAUCAGUAACCGGCUUGAGAGAGUGAACGGUCACAUUGGAACUGAGACACGGUCCAAACUCCUACGGGAGGCAGCAGUGGGGAAUAUUGCACAAUGGGGGAAACCCUGAUGCAGCGACGCCGCGUGAGCGAUGAAGGAAUUCGUUUCGUAAAGCUCUGUCCAAGGGGAAGAUAAUGACAGUACCCUUGGAGGAAGCCCCGGCUAAAUACGUGCCAGCAGCCGCCGUAA
rnacentral:rRNA from 1 species